rnacentral:rRNA from 1 species
ACGGGAGGCAGCAGUGGGGAAUAUUGCACAAUGGGCGCAAGCCUGAUGCAGCGACGCCGCGUGAGCGAAGAAGUAUUUCGGUAUGUAAAGCUCUAUCAGCAGGGAAGAAAAUGACGGUACCUGACUAAGAAGCUCCGGCUAAAUACGUGCCAGCAGCCGCGGUAAUACGUAUGGAGCAAGCGUUAUCCGGAUUUACUGGGUGUAAAGGGAGCGUAGACGGAACAGCAAGUCUGAUGUGAAAGGCAGGGGCUCAACUCCUGGACUGCAUUGGAAACUGUUGAUCUUGAGUGCCGGAGAGGUAAGCGGAAUUCCUAGUGUAGCGGUGAAAUGCGUAGAUAUUAGGAGGAACACCAGUGGCGAAGGCGGCUUACUGGACGGUAACUGACGUUGAGGCUCGAAAGCGUGGGGAGCAAACAGGAUUAGAUACCCUGGUA